GACGAACGCUGGCGGCGUGCCUAAUACAUGCAAGUUGAGCGCUGAAGGUUGGUACUUGUACCAACUGGAUGAGCAGCGAACGGGUGAGUAACGCGUGGGGAAUCUGCCUUUGAGCGGGGGACAACAUUUGGAAACGAAUGCUAAUACCGCAUAAAAACUUUAAACACAAGUUUUAAGUUUGAAAGAUGCAAUUGCAUCACUCAAAGAUGAUCCCGCGUUGUAUUAGCUAGUUGGUGAGGUAAAGGCUCACCAAGGCGAUGAUACAUAGCCGACCUGAGAGGGUGAUCGGCCAAAUGGGGACUGAGACAAGGCCCAAAAUCCUACGGGAGGCAGCAGUAGGGAAACUUCGGCAAUGGACGAAAGGCUGACCGAGGAACGCCGCGGGAGUGAAGAAGGGUUUCGGAUCGUAAAACUCGGUUGGUAGAGAAGAACGUUGGUGAGAGUGGAAAGCUCAUCAAGUGACGGUAACUACACAGAAAGAGACGGCUAACUACGUG
rnacentral:rRNA from 1 species